UACGUAGGGUGCGAGCGUUGUCCGGAAUUACUGGGCGUAAAGGGCUCGUAGGCGGCCAACUAAGUCAGACGUGAAAUCCCUCGGCUUAACCGGGGAACUGCGUCUGAUACUGGAUGGCUUGAAUCCGGGAGAGGGAUGCGGAAUUCCAGGUGUAGCGGUGAAAUGCGUAGAUAUCUGGAGGAACACCGGUGGCGAAGGCGGCAUCCUGGACCGGCAUUGACGCUGAGGAGCGAAAGCCAGGGGAGCAAACGGG
rnacentral:rRNA from 1 species